AAUACUUAGGAAUCUGCCCAUUAAUGGGGGACAACAGUUGGAAACGACUGCUAAUACCGCAUACGCCCUACGGGGGAAAGCAGGGGAUCUUCGGACCUUGCGUUAAUGGAUGAGCCUAAGUCGGAUUAGCUAGUUGGUGGGGUAAAGGCCUACCAAGGCGACGAUCUGUAGCGGGUCUGAGAGGAUGAUCCGCCACACUGGGACUGAGACACGGCCCAGACUCCUACGGGAGGCAGCAGUGGGGAAUAUUGGACAAUGGGGGGAACCCUGAUCCAGCCAUGCCGCGUGUGUGAAGAAGGCCUUUUGGUUGUAAAGCACUUUAAGCGAGGAGGAGGCUACUAGUAUUAAUACUACUGGAUAGUGGACGUUACUCGCAGAAUAAGCACCGGCUAACUCUGUGCCUGCAGCCGCGGUAAUACAGAGGGUGCGAGCGUUAAUCGGAUUUACUGGGCGUAAAGCGUGCGUAGGUGGCCAAUUAAGUCAAAUGUGAAAUCCCCGAGCUUAACUUGGGAAUUGCAUUCGAUACUGGUUGGCUAGAGUAUGGGAGAGGAUGGUAGAAUUCCAGGUGUAGCGGUGAAAUGCGUAGAGAUCUGGGGG
rnacentral:rRNA from 1 species